UUCUUGCAAGCUGUGGACGUAUCUCACCUCCCUGUGCCCGUUGCUUUGCUUCACGGCCCUCUCUGUAGCUCACUCAAUCCAGUGGACAUGGUCGACCACGCCAAAGCGCGCCGCUUGCGCCAGUACCCGUGGUGAUCACGCUGGCAUCAUGCAGAUUGCAAGCUCUGGAUUGGUCCGGCCAAUGUGCUCAUCCGCUCCCUCCUUGUCUCGACCUCCAACUUUGUCUAGGAGCUGCCCCGUGAUGCCCUGCGUCGCCCUGUGUCGUUGCCUCGUCGUGGUUCGUAAUAAUUGCGUCGUUGUUUCCAUGCCCAUGGCGUGAACUGCCCCUGCACCUCCAUCGUUGGCUAGUUGAACUCGCCCGUGAUGCUCCAGAGACGUCCCCGCGCCUAUACAAGGAGUGUCCGACCUUCCCCGCACAUCAGCACUCUCUCCCUCUCCUCAUUGUUCACCGGAGUACCUCUCCUUCAUUGUUUCCUCGCCGUUCGUCCACGGUGGUCAUCGGCCUUGGCUUGGGUCCGGCCACCUCAGGCCUCCCCUCGCCUCUCCUCCACGUCCACCGCACUUCCCACACCCCCACGAGCCGCCCCACCACCUUGCCCCCCUCACCGGAGACCCUCCAAGGCUAUGCCCCCACUAACCUGAGCCGCCGCCCCUACCCUCCUCUGGUGCCGCCCUCCCCUCCUCCCCAGGCCUCCUCGGCGCCCGUUUCCCCUCUAAACGGAGUCUGCACUCCAUCCUGCCCUCGCCACCACUCUCGCCCGACCCUAACACCUACCGGAGCCUCUCCAUUGGUCGAAGCCGCCGUCCUCAGCCGCGCCAUGCAUCCCCACUUCCUGCUAUCCCCAGCCUAGACGAAGACCUCCCCUGGACGUGGUGCUCGCCGGCACACCCAUUCAUGCUUUCGCCUUCACCGGAGAUGGCCGGAGCCGGCCGGGUGGUCACUGGCCGCGCCUCUGUCCCGCCCGCCCCUGUUCUUGACGGGGAGGAGGAGGGAGGAAGAAGAAGACAUGGGGAGGAGAUGGAUAAGGUGGCUCCCCCUGUCAGCCGCACAAGCCUGGCCCCGCCACCACCACGUCACAUAGGUCCCUGAGCUUCAACACCUCACAACUUUUCAACCGUAACUCUGAUCGAGCCCCCUCCAAGAGAGAAUCGUCUGGUGUUUCGUUUCCGCGGCUUCACCACACUUCUUCCCGAGUCUCCGUCACCCCCAGGCAAGCCAAAACCACCAUUGGCAUGAUAGCCAUGCAGUAGCAUUGGUUUUCCACUUGAAUCUUUAAUAUCUGUCUGUUUUUCUGCUACUGCUACCGUUGUUUCGAUUAUGCGAUGGAUUUGUGUUUAUUUUCAUGUUAUGUUCAUACGCACCUGGUUAUCAUGUUCUACUUGCUAGUAUUACUUUCAUAUGUUCAUACUUGCUAGUAGUACAUGUUGGAUUGGUCAUGUUCUUCGGUGCAUGACUAUUGUCCGUUACUGAGUAUCGUUGAGAUGUUUGUUUCUUUGUUAUUAGUGGGUUAAGUGCUUACUUGGUAUUGUUCUUGCUAUGUUCUGGCAUGGUAUUUAUUCAUGAUGCUAGUGGUCAUGUUAUGUUCUGAGUAGUAGAUGCUCCUGUGUAGUGUUAUGCUCCUCAGUAUGCCAUGCUCAUUUGGAUAUAUGAUUCCUUGUGGUUAUGCUCGAUGAUUCGUUGCAACUCCAUGCUUAUGUUUAUAUCAUGCUCAUGCAUCGUAAUUGCAUCUUGUUAUUUUCAAAUGACUCAGCUUAUUGCCUUCAAGUUUAACCAGAUUUAAUUGAACUUGAACAACCGUUGGCUGAGUCAUGGCACCACCAUAUCGAGCUAACCAAUGCAACCACAUUUUCCUUUUAUGGGAAGGUCUUAACUGGAUCUAUUGUCAUGCCUCUCGCCGGGGCCUCCAACGAGGGAAGGUUAUGGGCACACGCUACCCUGAUCAGGUCGGGCCUUGAUUGCUAGCUUGUUUGGUGUGGUUUUGUUGUUCGCGAGCUAGGAUAAACGUUCCAGCUAGAGUCCCUGCGGAUUGGAGUCCAUCAUCAUUGGUUGUUCUUCUCCUGCCAGUAGAGGUUCCGCUGCCUCGAGUUGUUAUGCUGCUUCAAUAGAGCAACUGUAGUUGGCGUAGUGUCGCCGUGUUGGUGUUAUUCAUUGUAAUAUCGAAGACCUUGUAUUCAUAUUCCGGUUGUAAUAGAAAGCUGGUUUGCUCUAUGCUAAGCAGUGCCGUAUUCCAGAAGACUUCAUCUCGAUCUCUUGGCUGGAAUACGCGGCAUUCCAUUUUCUCUGAGCAGGGGUGCCAGAAGAGACUACUAAGAAUAAACAACUAGGUUGUCAGAUCCCACACAUAACAAGCAUUUCAAUAACAUAUACACAAUAUGCUCGAUAUGUGCAAAUACAAC